GCCGGUUAACCGCGCCUACGCGCGUGGCCGACAACAGGCUCUCUCUCGCCGACGAAUUCCCAUAAAUUGAUUCAGCAUUCGCGCCUUCGGGCGCGA
rnacentral:sRNA from 1 species